GACGAACGCUGGCGGCGUGCUUAACACAUGCAAGUCGAACGGUAAGGCUCCAGCUUGCUGGGGUACACGAGUGGCGAACGGGUGAGUAACACGUGGGUGACCUGCCCUGCACUUCGGGAUAAGCCUUGGAAACUGGGUCUAAUACCGGAUAGGACCAUGGUGUGGAUACUGUGGUGGAAAGUUUUUUCGGUGUGGGAUGGGCGCGCGGGCUAUCCGCUUGUUGGUGGGGUAAUGGCCUACCAAGGCGGUGACGGGUAGCCGGCCUGUGAGGGUGGACGGCCACAUUGGGACUGCGGCACGGCCCAGACUCCUACGGGAGGCAGCAGUGGGGAAUAUUGCGCAAUGGGCGGAAGCCUGAUGCAGCGACGCCGCGUGGGGGAUGACGGCCUUCUAGUUGUAAACUACUUUCACCAUAGACGAAGGGUUUCUGACGGUAGAUGGAGAAGAAGCACCGGCUAACUACGUG
rnacentral:rRNA from 1 species